AUGAACGCUGGCGGCGUGCCUAAUACAUGCAAGUCGAGCGAACAGACGAGGAGCUUGCUCCUCUGACGUUAGCGGCGGACGGGUGAGUAGCACGUGGAUAACCUACCUAUAAGACUGGGAUAACUUCGGGAAACCGGAGCUAAUACCGGAUAACAUGUUGAACCGCAUGGUUCAACAGUGAAAGACGGUCUUGCUGUCACUUAUAGAUGGAUCCGCGCCGCAUUAGCUAGUUGGUAAGGUAACGGCUUACCAAGGCAACGAUGCGUAGCCGACCUGAGAGGGUGAUCGGCCACACUGGAACUGAGACACGGUCCAGACUCCUACGGGAGGCAGCAGUAGGGAAUCUUCCGCAAUGGGCGAAAGCCUGACGGAGCAACGCCGCGUGAGUGAAGAAGGUCUUCGGAUCGUAAAACUCUGUUAUUAGGGAAGAACAAAUGUGUAAGUAACUAUGCACGUCUUGACGGUACCUAAUCAGAAAGCCACGGCUAACUACGUG
rnacentral:rRNA from 1 species